GUAGGUGGCAAGCGUUGUCCGGAAUUAUUGGGCGUAAAGCGCGCGCAGGCGGUUCUUUAAGUCUGAUGUGAAAGCCCACGGGCUCAACCGUGGAGGGUCAUUGGAAACUGGAGAACCUGAGUACAGAAGAGGAAAGCGGAAUUCCACGUGUAGCGGUGAAAUGCGUAGAGAUGUGGAGGAACACCAGUGGCGAAGGCGGCUUUCUGGUCUGUAACUGACGCUGAGGCGCGAAAGCGUGGGGAGCAAACAGGAUUAGAUACCCUGGUAGUCCACGCCGUAAACGAUGAGUGCUAAGUGUUAGGGGGUUUCCGCCCCUUAGUGCUGCAGCUAACGCAUUAAGCACUCCGCCUGGGGAGUACGGCCGCAAAGGCUG
rnacentral:rRNA from 1 species